UUUCAUAUACUCUUCAGUCACAAUUCAAUCGUCAUCGACAUCAGACACCUCGUUGUGACUCCUAGAGAAAUAAUUUCCUAGUAAAUCCGCUCUAGAUGUUCGAAACUACUAAAUAAUUAAGGCUAAAUUUUUACUGAAAACGUAUCUUCGUUAAUUGCAAAAUAUAACAACAUACGCAUUACGCAGCAUACUAAAUAAAUGCGAUUCCACCAUUUGGCUUUUGGAAGAAGAAAAAAACAAAUGAAUCCAAGACAUUUGUGUUUAGUAUACCAUCUACAAUUUUGACGGGCUAUUGAUGUGAAAUGUGUGUGUAAAUUAUUUUUUAAAUUAAAAUUUAGAGUCGAAAUUGAAUCCAUUUUGAACGGAACUGAUAAAAAGAAAUAAAGUGCAUUGAAAAUGCAAAAAAAAAAAAAAUCUCGGUGGCCGGCAAAAUCCACGUGGGGAGUUGUAGAAGAGUUUGUGGUUAUUUUUUAGUGAGAUUCACUGAAGCUGAUUACAUGGCGUUACAAUAGUUGUCUGCGACACAAUUAUUGUAUUAACUCAUGUCCUACAUACCCUAAUAUAGAUAAUGAAAUAUUUUCUAGCUAAUCUAUCAGUCUCGAACUCGCGACACACACUAUCAAGUGAGUGUGCAUCGCUCAACCACUCUUCCACUGUGCCACCGCCGCCGCGAUGAACAAUCGACCGAGUGUCGAGUUGUAAUGUGCGUAAAUACGUUCCGCCGAACAGCGGAGAACACACCGUUCAGUGUAUUCGAUUUCGACUUUUACAACGCUGCAUUUCAUGAAUGAAAAAUGUCAAUUGAUCUACGUCACACUGCACACCGUAUUCAUCUGUACUGAAUGACCAUCUGCAGCCGAAUCAAACACACAAUAAAAGCCAUUGUUCUUUCUAAUGAAAAACCACAUCAUUGAAUUUAUUUUUAUACAUGUUUCCAAUUGAAAUGUUCAAUUCGACAAUUGUCAACGAAAAUGUUGUAUAAAUAAAUGAAAUCAAAUCAAAUUUAAAUCGAACAAAA